rnacentral:rRNA from 2 species
UUUAUUGGAGAGUUUGAUCCUGGCUCAGGACGAACGCUGGCGGCGUGCCUAAUACAUGCAAGUCGAGCGAAUCAAUGGGAGCUUGCUCCCUGAGAUUAGCGGCGGACGGGUGAGUAACACGUGGGUAACCUGCCUGUAAGAUUGGGAUAACUCCGGGAAACCGGAGCUAAUACCGGAUAACAUUUUGAACCGCAUGGUUCAAAAUUGAAAGGUGGCUUUUGCUACCACUUACAGAUGGACCCGCGGCGCAUUAGCUAGUUGGUGAGGUAACGGCUCACCAAGGCAACGAUGCGUAGCCGACCUGAGAGGGUGAUCGGCCACACUGGGACUGAGACACGGCCCAGACUCCUAC